GAGUCAGUACAGGCGGCAUGCGGCCAUUGGUGGCUUUGGACUCGGCUGCUUCAUGCUGGAGGAUGUGGCAAUCGCGCAUGGGCACAGCUUUGUGCACUCCUUGUGGCACCUGCACUCCUGCUAUGCUGUGGCCAGCGCCAAUGCGCUCAUGCAGAGACGAGAACUGGAAAUUGCUGCUGUUUCGGCUAACACCCGGCCAGCAGUGAGUGCCGAUGGCAUCAACUAUGCAGCUGCCUGACCUGAGAAGCUUCUUAAGAGGAACAAAUUCGUCAGAAAACUUAGAUUUCAA
rnacentral:lncRNA from 1 species